UUUCUGUAUAUUUGAAUUUUUUUUAUGGGCAUUAGAAGCCUCCAUAAUCUUAACCAUAUUCAAUCUCCUGCCCUCUCACAGAUUCUUUAUUUUUUCAGAAUUUAAAACCUUACGGCUUCUCUGUUCAUCGUGUAUCAGGCACCCAUUUUCAAACCACUCGACCCACGUGAAGCCCGUCGAAGACCUUUUUCAAACCACAUCACGUCAGGCCGUGAAACCAUCUCCC
rnacentral:lncRNA from 1 species